UCUAGCCACACAAUAGCUAGCUCCUCGUCCUCGUCCAAAUCGAUUUGAUAAGAUUGAGAGAAACCAGGCGUGAUCAUGUGCUUGGGCUAUUGGAGAUGGGCACCAGCUACUUUAAUCCGACCAGGAGAAAGGAGUCUUGAUGUCCGACUUCAUACAAAUAGGGAAUUGAUCAUCUUGAUUCUACAGUGUUCAACAGAGACUCGAACUGGGUUCAAAGCUUGUUCCGGCGAUUAGCCGAUCUUGAUUUGCAUGCAAGAGCAAAACUGGGGUGACUUCUCAAUCUGGUACGACCGCCUCUGUGCCCAUUUAAGCAAUCGCUUGUUGUUGACAGUGUACCACCGCCUCACACAUUCAAUUAUAUUUGGCAACAAAAGCCAUGUUUUUGUCUUCUUCCUGAUUGAAAGAUGAGCACGGCUAAGCAUUGUAUUCUUUUGGUCUGAGUUGCAUUCAAUAUCAAUUCGUGUUUGUUGUUGCCACCAUGUCCCGCUUUGAUUAAAAAUACCUAUCAGCAUUCUCUGUCUUCUUCUAUUUUUUCUUCUUCUAUAUUGAUCCCAGAAAGCAAUUCAAUUAAACUUUGCUUUCCUUUUGACAUGGCAUGUUUCUGCACACAUAUUUGCAUGUUUGAACAAUCAAACAUGGACUUUUGUCUUCUUGUUCAUUAUUUUCAGUUGACCACCGUUUGCAAUCAAUUAUGCAUAUUUGAGAGCUCUUAUGUUUAAAGCCCUUUGUCUUCUUGCUGCAUGUUCAAGUUUAAAUUCUUGUCUUCAUUAAACAAUUGAAACUUGACUUCAUUUUGUCUUCCUACUGAUCAUUCCACCACAUCAAAAUGGCUGCUCCAUUAAUUAAAUUUGCCACCAUGUUUUGUUGUGAUUGUGUCUGUCACCACCGCGCACCGCCGCUUUAAACAUUCACCAGUUAACUAAAUUACUACUUUCAUGGACAAAGAAAGAAGUUCAAUUAAUUAACAAGUGGUGUGCAGACGCUACCGCCAAAUUUUACUUCACCACUACCUCUAUAUUCAAGGGGCAGAUCAACUUAUCUAGUUGACAAGGUUGCAGAGAAGAUCGGAACCAAAGAUUAAGGGUGAGGCUCUUAUUGCUUUGCUUGUCACGGUUGGUGUUUAACUUGGCAGUAGUUUAGUUUUUGUAUUUCUGGUUUUGGAAGUGGUGGAAGGAGGAAGGCAGAAGCAGGGGCUUGCUGAAUUUGCAGGGAGCGAAGAUGGCAUUUUGUGCAGACUUUUUUUUUUUCCUUUUUCUUAGCGUCGGAGCUUGCCGUUCAUGAACGACUUUAUGUUCCUGCGUUGGGAAUUGCAGCAGCUAAGUGCGUUGAGACUCCGGCCGUUCAUGAACGACCAUAUAUGUCUCAACGGAGGAGCAGAUCACCAUGAAGGUUGGCCGUUCAUGAACGACCAUGUAUUUCUUGGUAAUUUAAGAGAGACUCAACAAAAGAAAGAAGGUUGUUCAUGAACAGCCUAACUUUUGUCGACAGCAAGCAUUCCGGACGAUGUAUUUCUCUGUUAAAGAAGACGGGUACAGCAAGGAUGCGUAGUAUACCUGAGCGUCGCCUUUGGAGCUUGAAUGGUUGCCGGAUCUGCUUUGAUUUUGGCAUAAUUCUUUCUCUCUGUCCCCCCUGUAUCUCUUCACGUUGGUGUCUUUAUAUAAUAACAUAGUUGCUUCUCAGAGCUAUCUUUCCUCAAAACUUGUAAUUUAAAUUUUGAAUGACAAGAUUUGAAUUUGGAUAACAAGCUUAUCUUGCACUUUGAA